UACGUAGGGCGCAAGCGUUGUCCGGAAUUAUUGGGCGUAAAGAGCUCGUAGGCGGUCUGUUACGUCCGCUGUGAAAACCCAGGGCUUAACCCUGGGCUUGCAGUGGAUACGGGUAGACUAGAGGCAGGUAGGGGAGAAUGGAAUUCCCGGUGUAGCGGUGAAAUGCGCAGAUAUCAGGAAGAACACCCGUGGCGAAGGCGGCUCUCUGGGACGGUACUGACGCUGAGACGCGAAAGCGUGGGGAGCGAACAGG
rnacentral:rRNA from 1 species